rnacentral:rRNA from 1 species
AACGUAGGAGACAAACGUUAUCCGGAGUUACUGGGCGUAAAGGGCGUGUAGGUGGUUUCGUAAGUCUGGCGUGAAAUUUUUCGGCUUAACCGGGAAAGGUCGUCGGAUACUGCGGGACUAGAGGACGGUAGAGGCGUGUGGAAUUGCUGGGUGUAGUGGUGAAAUGCGUAGAGAUCCGGAGGAACACCAGUGGCGAAGGCGACACGCUGGCCGUACCUGACACUGAUGCGCGACAGCAUGGGGAGCAAACAGGAUUAGAAACCC